CAAUUCUUGCCGAGUCGGCCCUGUUUCGUUAAAACGGUAGUCUCCCCUCCCUCCCAAACAACCCAGAUAUUUUUUUCGGGCUGACCCUUUAUUUAAGAAAGCUAUUAAAAUAGUUUAAAUGACCAAUGAGCAUGGCUAUUUGGGUUGAUUGGCAGUUGCCAUUCUUUAGAAUUAUUGUUUUGAUUGACAGGCAGGCCGUUGUCAAGGAGAAGGGCGAGUCUCGCGGCGUCUCCAGGGGAAGCCCCCUCCCUCCCUGCUGCAUUACUUUCAACCAGCUCUGCUUUCAACAGCUUCAUCACUGCGAUGGGUUAUUUAAUUUUGGUACACUUUCCCCACAAAUAUGCUUUGUUGUACUUUUGGAUGUACUUCUCCGUAUUCUGCAAGGACCUCUGCGGUUUUGGCAAAACAACAAACCACACUUCACCUGGAAAACACAGCCAGGACUCACUGUCAGAUGUCUGAAAAUGUACAGUACACGCCAGCAGGUCUCACCAUAGUCAACAUCAUUAAGGAUUUGGCUCUCUGACCUGAGAAGAGGCCCCAUAAACACACCUGACAAGGACCAGCCACUGUUGCCAGUGCACAACUGAGGACCUGACCAGCCUGCUGCCAUCUAUGAUACUAUAUAGUACCCGCGGAGGUGUCUGAAGACGUGGAGUACACUGCAGCAGGUAUCACAUGACCAAGGACUUGGACAACGUCUCUGUUUACA